rnacentral:rRNA from 1 species
UACGUAGGGGGCUAGCGUUGUCCGGAAUCAUUGGGCGUAAAGCGCGUGUAGGCGGUCCGGUAAGUCCGCUGUGAAAGUCGGGGGCUCAACCCUCGAAUGCCGGUGGACACUGUCGGGCUAGAGUGCGGAAGAGGCGAGUGGAAUUCCUGGUGUAGCGGUGAAAUGCGCAGAUAUCAGGAGGAACACCAAUUGCGAAGGCAGCUCGCUGGGACGUUACUGACGCUGAGACGCGAAAGCGUGGGGAGCAAACAGG